AUUGAACGCUGGCGGCAGGCCUAACACAUGCAAGUCGAGCGGAUGAAGGGAGCUUGCUCCUGGAUUCAGCGGCGGACGGGUGAGUAAUGCCUAGGAAUCUGCCUGGUAGUGGGGGAUAACGUCCGGAAACGGGCGCUAAUACCGCAUACGUCCUGAGGGAGAAAGUGGGGGAUCUUCGGACCUCACGCUAUCAGAUGAGCCUAUGGCGGAUUAGCUAGUUGGUGGGGUAAAGGCCUACCAAGGCGACGAUCCGUAACUGGUCUGAGAGGAUGAUCAGACACACUGGAACUGAGACACGGUCCAGACUCCUACGGGAGGCAGCAGUGGGGAAUAUUGGACAAUGGGCGAAAGCCUGAUCCAGCCAUGCCGCGUGUGUGAAGAAGGUCUUCGGAUUGUAAAGCACUUUAAGUUGGGAGGAAGGGCAGUGAGUUAAUACCUUGCUGUUUUGACGUUACCUACAGAAUAAGCACCGGCUAACUUCGUG
rnacentral:rRNA from 1 species